rnacentral:rRNA from 1 species
AUGGAAUUAAGAUUUCCCAGGUUUAGCCAAGGCUUAGCUCAGGACCCCACUACUCGUCGUAUUUGGUUUGGUAUUGCUACCGCACAUGAUUUCGAAAGUCAUGAUGAUAUUACUGAAGAACGUCUUUAUCAGAACAUUUUUGCUUCUCACUUUGGGCAAUUAGCAAUAAUAUUUCUAUGGACGUCCGGAAAUCUGUUUCAUGUAGCUUGGCAAGGAAAUUUUGAAUCAUGGAUACAGGAUCCUUUACACGUAAGACCUAUAGCUCAUGCGAUUUGGGAUCCUCAUUUUGGUCAACCCGCUGUGGAAGCCUUUACUCGAGGAGGUGCUGCUGGUCCAGUGAAUAUUGCUUAUUCUGGAGUUUAUCAGUGGUGGUAUACAAUAGGAUUACGCACCAAUGAGGAUCUUUAUACUGGAGCUCUUUUUCUAUUAUUUCUUUCUACGCUGUCCUUAAUAGCGGGUUGGUUACAUCUACAACCCAAAUGGAAACCAAGCCUUUCGUGGUUCAAAAUCGUGGAAUCUCGUCUCAAUCAUCAUUUGUCAGGACUUUUCGGGGUAAGUUCUUUGGCUUGGACAGGACAUUUAGUUCAUGUUGCUAUUCCCGCAUCCAGGGGGGAGUACGUUCGAUGGAAUAAUUUCUUAGAUGUAUUACCCUAUCCCCAGGGGUUGGGACCCCUUUUGACGGGUCAAUGGAAUCUUUAUGCCCAAAACCCUGAUUCGAGUAAUCAUUUAUUUGGUACCGCUCAAGGGGCCGGAACUGCCAUUCUAACUCUUCUUGGGGGAUUCCAUCCACAAACACAAAGUUUGUGGCUGACCGAUAUGGCUCACCAUCAUUUAGCUAUUGCAUUUAUUUUUCUCAUUGCCGGUCACAUGUAUCGAACUAACUUCGGAAUUGGGCACAGUAUUAAAGAUCUUUUAGAAGCGCAUACUCCUCCGGGGGGUCAAUUAGGGCGUGGGCAUAAGGGCCUUUAUGACACA